GUGUGUGUGUGUGUGUGUGUGUUGGGUGAGGAGUGUGUUUUAUGGCUUGCAAAUAGACCAGCAUUUAAUUCCAAUAAUGGUGACCCACUGAGUCCACUGAGUGUGUGCUAAGUGGAAAGCAUUGUUCCAGAUGCUUCCCUUCCUUCAGUCACCAAGCAUUUACCGAGUACCUUUCAUGUGCUAGGACUCUGUAGGUGUCUAGACACACGAAUGACAAAAACAGACAGAAAUCCCUGACUUCAGGCAGUGCUAUAGCCAGUUCUCGCGAACUUAAAGGAGCGGUCCUCGGACUAGCAUCAAAUCUUUUACAUUGUGGAGAUGGACGCUGGCUGUAUAUAUUUCAUGGAGCCUUGGAUCGUGCAUCCUAAAAUUAUGACCUAGUCCUGCCUCCACCCGAUGAGGGAGGGACUGGUACUGUCCCUUUCUGACGGAAGAGGGAACCAAGACUCAGAGAUUUGCUCAAGAUCACACAGCUCACGUCUCUCCUAUGGAGUGGCAGAGCUGGGAUUCAAACACCAGUGGUCUAGUCCCAGAACCAGGUUUCUUAAAUCUCAUAUUACGUUGCCUCUCGAAUUUGAUACCAUAUAGAAUUUUUUAAAUGAGUUUAGAGGAUUUUCAGUAAAGGAAGGGCCUGGUGGUGGGGUGGUUUUUAGAUAACACUCUAGCGAGUCAGUAGCAUAUUCAUAGAAGACCAUCCUUGAGAAUGGUUCUGAAUCUAUUAUUUAUGGUCCUCCAAUCUUUUUAAUGUACUAUUCAUUGAGAUGGUGAUGCAGUUCCACUAGCGAGAUACUGGAAAUUGGCUUAUCCAUUGUCUCAUUUGAUUUUCUUUGUUGGCCAAAUUUGUAGCUUAUUUCCGAUUUGUAUGGAAAGAAUGGUGGGAUUAAUUGACUUCUUCCCAUUAAUUAAAACAGCCGCCUGAGUAUAGUGCCUGAGAAUUCCAAAAAAAUGGAACUGUGAGGGGCUGGUUGAAGGGGUGGUUUCCUUUCUGAGCCUUUCUGCCAUUGUUCUCUGUGUCCGUAGCCAAGACAUAGGGCCUGGCGCUUUUCAAAGCUGACCCUUCCUUUCGAGCCUGGGAAUGUUUCACUUUGGGGUGACAUAGAUAAUUAAAUUCUGGGGAAGUCAUAGCCAAAGGGAGCGUUUUAUUUCCAACUCUGUGGUAGAAAUGCUGCACUUUUUCUUGCCUUGUGCUUUGGCUUACAUACUUACAUGUAUUUCUUGUAAGAAAAUUUUGAAAAAACUUCAGAAAUUUCAAACGUCUAUGGGAACUGCUUUUCUUCAGUGUAGACAAAAGGUUGGAUUUGGAACAUUUUCUAUAAGAGCUGUUUUGUCAAGAGACAAUGGAGUUAUUUUUCAUGGAAAGCAAAAAUGUAUUCUAUAAUCAAUGCCUUAAGUAAACAAAGUAGAGUUAAUAUUGAUUCUGUAUCAUUAUAUAUAUUUUUAAUUAACUAAAGAGCCCAGGGGAAGAAAGCUCAUUUUCUUAAAUGUCUUGAUAAAGGAAAUGACUAAAGUUGUGUUUGGUUUUUUUUUUCCUCACGCAGAAGUAGUGUAGCUUUCCAGCAAUAAAAAUAAGGAUUCUGUAAAGGUGAUGGUAAAGAUUUCACUUGUCAGAAAGGUUGUUAUAAAUGUAAGAAAUUUCAGACUUUUUCGUGUUUAUUGCAGAUGAGACCCUCUCAGGUAUGUACAAAACGUGACAUAAUCUUAGCUUUUCAUUUAGGCUGUCUUUGAGGCACAUAGAGGUUAAUGGACUAAGAUACUGAAAUAUUUAAGAAAUGGUCGAUGACAGAAUUUUUUGUGAGAUCACAGUAUCUGCAUCCAACUUCCUCAUAUUGCCAACCAUGGAAAUACUAUAUACUAUGAAAAGCCAAUUAGGUAGAAUGGAAAACAUCCAGAGAGUUCACAGAGAGUUGUAUGAUUCUGUAUUUUUAUGACCCAGGAAGCAGUUCCAAGUUUACCGGUGGUCAACAUUUUUAGAAAACUUGCUAAGGGGAAUGAAAAAGUUGGGCUGAUUAUGUCAGGGUUUGCCAGACACGAGAAGGACAUCUCACACGUGCUGACCUCAGCCCUGCUGCUCCCGUGUCUUCAGCUCUUUGGGUUCUAGAAAAUGUCAUCCACGAAUCUUUGGCGUGGGCCAGACUUGUAUCACACCUGGCAUUCAGUAACUCUCUCCAAGUUGCCAGAAAAAAAAAAAAAAAGAAAGAAAGAAAA